CGGACGGGUGAGUAAUGCCUAGGAAUCUGCCUGGUAGUGGGGGACAACGUUUCGAAGGGAACGCUAAUACCGCAUACGUCCUACGGGAGAAAGCAGGGGACCUUCGGGCCUUGCGCUAUCAGAUGAGCCUAGGUCGGAUUAGCUAGUUGGUGAGGUAAUGGCUCACCAAGGCGACGAUCCGUAACUGGUCUGAGAGGAUGAUCAGUCACACUGGAACUGAGACACGGUCCAGACUCCUACGGGAGGCAGCAGUA
rnacentral:rRNA from 1 species